UACGUAGGUGGCAAGCGUUUAUCCGGAAUUACUGGGCGUAAAGCGCACGCAGGCGGUCUUUUAAGUUUGACGUGAAAGCUCCCGGCUUAACUGGGAGAGGUCGUUGAAGACUGGGAGACUUGAGGCAAUGAGAGGGGUGUAGAAUUCCUGGUGUAGUGGUGGAAUGCGUAGAUAUCAGGAGGAAUACCAGUGGCGAAAGCGGCACCCUAGCGUUGUUCUGACGCUCAUGUGCGAAAGCGUGGGGAGCGAACGGG
rnacentral:rRNA from 1 species